GUCGUGAGAUGUUGGGUUAAGUCCCGCAACGAGCGCAACCCUUGUCCCUAGUUGCUACGCAAGGGCACUCUAGGGAGACUGCCGGUGACAAACCGGAGGAAGGUGGGGAUGACGUCAAGUCCUCAUGGCCCUUAUGGGUAGGGCUUCACACGUCAUACAAUGGCCGGUACAGAGGGUUGCCAACCCGCGAGGGGGAGCCAAUCCCUAUAAAGCCGGUCGUAGUCCGGAUUGCAGUCUGCAACUCGACUGCAUGAAGUCGGAAUCGCUAGUAAUCGCGGAUCAGCAUGUCGCGGUGAAUACGUUCCCGGGUCUUGUACACACCGCCCGUCACACCAUGGGAGCGGGAUGUACCAGAAGUAGGUAGGCUAACCGCAAGGAGGCCGCUUACCACGGUGCGUUUCGUGACUGGGGUGAAGUCGUAACAAGGUAGCCGUAUCGGAAGGUGCGGCUGGAUCACCUCCUUUCUCGGAAACAGGGAUCAGGAAUCAGGGAUCAGGGAUCAAACCCGGAUCGCUGCCCUGCCAUCCCCAUUCCCAAGCUGCGAGUACCCACAACCUAUCGGUUGCACGACACUGUGCAGCACGACACGACACCGGGCCUGUAGCUCAGUUGGUUAGAGCACCGUCUUGAUAAGGCGGGGGUCGAUGGUUCGAAUCCAUCCAGACCCACCACGGACGCACCGGGGCUGUAGCUCAAUUGGGAGAGCGCCUGCUUUGCAAGCAGGAGGUCGUCGGUUCGAUCCCGUCCAGCUCCACCAGGUUCAGGUAUCAGAGGUCAGGGAUCAGGGAUCAGGGAUCAGAAGAUUCCAAAACACCUAUCGGUUGCAUGUCAGCACUCAGCAGUGCGCUUUCGAACGAAGUGAGAGCGCAGUGUUGAGAGCUGCAGUGUUCUUUAACAAUUAGGAAGGUAAGGGUUCAUCUGACUUGAUGAGAGUUGGAUGAGCAAUAGGGUUGAGUUGUAUCUUCAAAAGCCGGUCACCUUUUAAAAAGGGGGGUGAGCGGUGGCGCGAGCACAACGUAACGGUGGGUCCGAUGAGGGCUUACAGUUAUGGGGUCAAGCGACUAAGUGCAUGUGGUGGAUGCCUUGGCGAUUACAGGCGAUGAAGGACGUGGCAGCCUGCGAAAAGCUGCGGGGAGCUGGCAAACGAGCAUUGAUCCGCAGAUGU
rnacentral:sRNA from 1 species